UCCCUCUUAGCUCAGUUGGUAGAGCGCGUCACUAGUAUUGGGCUGUGUUCAGCUUCUAUGACGAGGUCAGUCGUUCAAGUCGGCUAGAGGGAA
rnacentral:tRNA from 1 species